rnacentral:rRNA from 1 species
GACGAACGCUGGCGGCGUGCUUAACACAUGCAAGUCGAACGGAAAGGCCCUGCUUUUGUGGGGUGCUCGAGUGGCGAACGGGUGAGUAACACGUGAGUAACCUGCCCUUGACUUUGGGAUAACCUCAGGAAACUGGGGCUAAUACCGGAUAGGAGCUCCUGCUGCAUGGUGGGGGUUGGAAAGUUUCGGCGGUUGGGGAUGGACUCGCGGCUUAUCAGCUUGUUGGUGGGGUAGUGGCUUACCAAGGCUUUGACGGGUAGCCGGCCUGAGAGGGUGACCGGCAACAUUGGGACUGAGAUACGGCCCAGACUCCUACGGGAGGCAGCAGUGGGGAAUAUUGCACAAUGGGCGGAAGCCUGAUGCAGCAACGCCGCGUGCGGGAUGACGGCCUUCGGGUUGUAGACCGCUUUCGCCUGUGACGAAGCGUGAGUGACGGUAAUGUGUAAAGAAGCACCGGCUAACUACGUG